GAUCCGCCCUUUAGUGUUCGUUAUUGUUGUGGUGUAUGAGUGAAUAUUCCGUACAUAAACAACUUUUCGCUAUUGCCGGCGGUAUAAUAAUCAUAGAACGAUAAUAUUACAGUUAUAGUGAGUUAAUACAACGUAGAUUUUAUGGUGAGGUUCCAUGUGUCCGGGCUAUCAAAGGAUAGUGAAAAUAAAAGGGGGGGGGGGGGGAAUAUAACUGCUUGUAUGGCUUCUGCCUGAGGUCGAGUUCAAGCGGUUUUGGAUGGCAUUUCGUUUUCACGUGAUGGUGAUACUGAUUAUGAACCUUCCUCUGAUCAUAGAAGAUAGUGACAAUCUUGUUACUGGGCAGAGCAAUGUUAUAGGCGCAGUAAGUGCGGUUUAGAAGUAAGCAGUUGUGUUAAAUGAGGAAGGGAAACAAAAUGUAAACUGAUGGUUAUAGUAGGCUAGGCCUAGCCCAGGAGGGAAAGGUCUCACUAUUAUUACGAUUACAGUGACAGUGACGCGUCAGAUGACGAGUGGGUGCAUCCUUAUAGCAGUGAUAAAGAUACAGGAUUCGGUUAUCCAUCACUGUUUCCAGCUAGCAUACUCUGCCCCUACUUGUGGGCGAUCGAGCCACGCUACCAACACCGGUAGGCCCAACCUGUGGAACCUUCCGUUGUUGAGGAAGUAGUAGUAUACGUACACCCCGGUACAGCAGGAAGGGAGAAGAAAAAGGGUUAGUAGGCCAGAAACUUGGGCUGAUAAUGUUACAAAAAGGCAAAAAAGCCAGGGCUUUCUUGCCGCCAGAGGUUUGUUAAGAAGGCUGGUGAAAAGAAAACUUCUACAAAGAAAGUCUGUCUCUCCACCACCUACAAGAACGAGUGUUUUUCCAAGAUGGCAGAUGAGGCGAUUAAUGUGAUCUUCAAGGUAUAUUGGUCAGUGGGGGACUACUACGGCUUGCAGCCAGGCCCCAAGCUUCUAAAGAACCCUUUACAGUGAACUCAUCAAGAGGAACAGUCUAUGACUGAAGAAAGCAAGAAAUAACAUUGAGCUCUAGCCUGUAACUGAGCUCUAGCCUAUAACUGUGUGCAAGGCUCUCUACCUCUCCACUCAUGCAGGAACUACAAUGAGGACCUAAGUUGAUAUGAACAGUUCCAAAGGCCUGUUGAAGUUUUUUUUUCUUUAUACAUCUUUUAUUAGUGUUUUAGAGGUCAUACAUGAACACAUGCAACCUCUGCCAGGUUGUUCCAGCCAUUACACCUGUGAACACACCCCUUACUGUCAAUAUUUAGGCUUCCUUUUGUGAAAAAUACCCAAAUUGCAUGACUGUCAUCCAGCCUAGUGUUGCCAUGGUGAAGUUGAAAUAUUACAAAAAGAAAUUCAGUUUCCAUUAUAUCUGAUUUCGCCCUGUGAAGAAAUAUGCCUGGAAUAUUUGUGAACAGUUCAAGAAAGCUCCUAAUGAUGAGAGGUGGGCUGGAAUCUUGAGCAAGAACAGAAGGCACAUAAUUAGAUAAUUUAUAUGGGGCUUAUAGUGCCUUGAAGACUGCCAAACUGACGACGACUGGGUCUGCGUAGCCUUUGGCUCUCAUCAAACCAUAUCAUGGCCCCGCCUGAAUUUCUGAAACAAAUUGUGGUGUAGCCUAGAUCUCAACAUCGAUACUCUCCUACGCUCCUCCCAUCCUGAGUUAAUGACCUCAGCCUAUCAGUGUAAUGACAUGAAAUUCUCAUCUUGAGUUUCAGAUUACUAAAUGAAGUACUCAAGAGUUACUACUGAUAACGAGAGCUACUCAGGAUGUGGAAACGUAUUUCAGCCGCAACUGGAAAUGAUUCUGCCAAGCUCUUUUUUAUCAUCUGAUAGAAGCACUAGUAAUGGACCUCAACUAUUACCAAGGCACAAACUUGUCUGUUCCAUUAUGUUGCUGCUAAGAUGAUAAAAAACAUCUUUCCGGGGACCAGGUUUGCCUUGACGUGCUACAUACAACUUUAAGUAACUUUAGAUCCAGUUUAGUGUUU